GUCUUUUUGAAUUAAUAAUAUAAAGUCUAAUCUGCCCACUGAUAAUAAAUUAAAGGGCUGCAGUAUUUUGACUGUACAAAGGUAGCAUAAUCAUUAGUCUCUUAAUUGGUGACUUGUAUGAAAGAUUUGAUGAGAUAUAAACUGUCUCUUUUUAAUUUUUAGAAUUUAAUUUUUUAGUUAAAAGGCUAAAAUAUAUUUAAAAGACGAGAAGACCCUAUAGAGUUUAAUAUUUAAUAUUUAUAUUAAAAAUUUUAUAUGAAAUUUGUAAUUUUAAUAUGGGUAAAUAUUUUGUUGGGGUGAUAAAAAAAUUAAAAUAACUUUUUUUAUAAUUUUACAUUAAUAAAUGAAUAAGUGAUCCGUAAUUUACGAUUAUAAGAAAAAAUUACCUUAGGGAUAACAGCGUAAUUUUUUUUUUUAGUUCAAAUAAGAAAAAGAGUUUGCGACCUCGAUGUUGGAUUAAGGUAAAAUUUAAAUGCAAAAGUUUAAAAUUUUUGAUCUGUUCGAUCAUUAAAAUCUUACA
rnacentral:rRNA from 1 species